rnacentral:rRNA from 1 species
AAGAACGACCCGCGAACCGUCAUCGAGCACUAGAGAGAGCCCGUGAGCACCCAACGCUCAUGGGGCUCGAGUCGAGUCGGCGUGGGUGUACUCGAGACCCGCGUCGUACCGACGGACAAACAACGUCAGCACGGAUCGUGCCAAGGAGCUGCAUGGAGAGAAUCGUCGUCCCACGCCUUUGAUAGCCCUCGAUGCGGGACGGGGGGCGGGGGAUGCACGCAGUCUCUACUCAAGUCUAAACGACUCUCGGCAACGGAUAUCUCGGCUCUUGCAUCGAUGAAGAACGUAGCGAAAUGCGAUACUUGGUGUGAAUUGCAGAAUCCCGCGAACCAUCAAUUCUUUGAACGCAAGUUGCGCCCGAAGCCAUCCGGCCGAGGGCACGCCUGCCUGGGUGUCGUGAUUCCCCUUGCCCCUAGGCACCCCGCAUGAGCAUUGGCGGGGAUGUAUGCUCGGGCGCAGAAUAUGGUCUCCCGUGGGAUCGGCAUGCCCGGCAUGCAGAGGCGCGGUUGGCCGAAAAUCGAGCGUGGCGGUGACGGGCACCACGGCGUUCGGUGGAUCGAAUGAGAUUGGCUGCGUCGUGGGCUCGGCAUGCGGCGAGCUCCGGACUUUGAAAAUCCUCGAUUGCGAUCCCAGGUCAGGCGGGGCUACCCGCUGAGUUUAAG